CUCAUUUAUCUUACUUCUAUCCAAUAUUACAGUGAAACCAUGUAAACAAAAGUUCUUUUAAAUGACAAGCUUGUCAUUCAUUUCUGGAGUCUAGCAACACUCAGUGAAGUCUAACAGGACAACCAACUAUAAUCUUGGCCUGUAAAACACCCAUAAGCCACUCCCUGUACACAGUGAAAAGACUCUAUAAAAGAACACUCUGUGAAUAGUGUGUUUCUUCUCAUGGAAGGCGGCACUGGUAUUUGGAUCUGUGGCCUCAGAUGAAAUGUCAACAUCCAAACAUCAAGAAAAGUCACAGAAAGAUAGGAUAGCCAGCAAGACAUCUAGUAUUUUAGAUGAAGAGACGGCCUUCUGUCUUCGUGUCUGGGAGCUGAGAGCGCUCAUGUGCGGAGUGGUACAACAGAUACUGCAAAGCAUGAGGAUAGCAAUCCUGAGGUGACAAUGAAGGACAGAAAAACAGAGGUGAUCACAGAGUCAUCCUGAAAACGCCGGAGCCUGUCCACUCCAAGCAUCUGCUUCAGCAACCAUUAAACUCCACUUGGGUUCCCCCUG